AAGGAAAGGAAAGGAAAGGAAAGGAAAGGAAAGGAAAGGAAAGGAGGAGGAAAAGGGCAAGGGAGAAGGAGGAGGAGAGGAAGGAAAGAGAAGGAAAAAGAUGGAAAAAGGAAAAAGAAGGAAAAGGAAAAAGGAAAAGAAGGAAAAGGGAAAAGGAGAAGGUAAAAAGGAGAAAAGGAAAAGGAAAAGAGAAGAGCAAAGAGAGGAGAAGGAGCAAGAGAGGAAGAGGAAGGGAAAGGUGAGGAAGAAGAGGAGGAGGACAAGAAAAAGAAGGGCAAGGAAAGGAGAAGGAGAAGAGAAGAGGAAGGGCAGUGGGGGUGGGACGAGAAGCUGAGAGGCACCGGGUGCCCCCCGCUCCCCAUCCCUCAGGGCCAGGCGUCCUCCUCCAGCCCCUCGGCGUCCCGGGGGGGCCAGGGGGGCUCGAGCAGGGAGGAGAGGACGCUCUGCAGGGCCCGCCAGGGCUGGGGGGCACCGGGGGGCCGCGGCGUGGGGAUGCGGGACGGCUUCUUGCCGGGCUGCGUGUCCAACCGCGGCUUGGCACGGGGGCGCAGGGUGGGGGGCAUGGGGUAGGGGACCCCCGGUGCCAUCCCCUUGCCCCCCGUCCCUUCGUCCUCGUCCUCCUCAUCCUCAUCCUCCUCUCCUGGCACCCACUCGGGGUCGGACUCGGCGCCGGAGGCUGGCACCAAGCUGCUCUCGUCCGAGGAGCUGAAAACGUUGAGGGAGGAUGAGGAG
rnacentral:lncRNA from 1 species